rnacentral:rRNA from 1 species
CCUACGGGAGGCAGCAGUGGGGAAUUUUGGACAAUGGGGGCAACCCUGAUCCAGCAAUGCCGCGUGAGUGAAGAAGGCCUUCGGGUUGUAAAGCUCUUUUGUCAGGGAAGAAAAGGCUGUGGCUAAUAUCUACGGCUCAUGACGGUACCUGAAGAAUAAGCACCGGCUAACUACGUGCCAGCAGCCGCGGUAAUACGUAGGGUGCAAGCGUUAAUCGGAAUUACUGGGCGUAAAGCGUGCGCAGGCGGUUUUGUAAGACUGUCGUGAAAUCCCCGGGCUCAACCUGGGAAUGGCGAUGGUGACUGCAAGGCUAGAGUUUGGCAGAGGGGGGUAGAAUUCCACGUGUAGCAGUGAAAUGCGUAGAUAUGUGGAGGAACACCGAUGGCGAAGGCAGCCCCCUGGGUCAAAACUGACGCUCAUGCACGAAAGCGUGGGGAGCAAACAGGAUUAGAUACCCUGGUAGUCCACGCCCUAAACGAUGUCUACUAGUUGUCGGGUCUUAAUUGACUUGGUAACGCAGCUAACGCGUGAAGUAGACCGCCUGGGGAGUACGGUCGCAAGAUUAAAACUCAAAGGAAUUGACGG